rnacentral:rRNA from 1 species
AGGGAAUCUUCGGCAAUGGGGGCAACCCUGACCGAGCAACGCCGCGUGAGUGAAGAAGGUUUUCGGAUCGUAAAGCUCUGUUGUAAGUCAAGAACGGGUGUGAGAGUGGAAAGUUCACACUGUGACGGUAGCUUACCAGAAAGGGACGGCUAACUACGUGCCAGCAGCCGCGGUAAUACGUAGGUCCCGAGCGUUGUCCGGAUUUAUUGGGCGUAAAGCGAGCGCAGGCGGUU